rnacentral:misc_RNA from 1 species
CUUCAGAUGAGAUCCCAAGCCUUCUGGCGGUCUAUGAAAGGGCUUUUUAGCUUUUAGGAAGAUUUUUUCCGUGAUAUAAGAUUAUGCUGGGGAAGGUUUUCCGGUUUAUCUCGGAGGGCUUGUAGCUCAGUUGGUUAGAGCGCGCGCUUGAUAAGCGUGAGGUCGGAGGUUCAAGUCCUCCCAGGCCCACCAUUUAUAAGUGCUGAUAGGGUGCUUUUUGUGCGAUAGCACGAGAAUUUACAUUUAUCGAUUGCGCUGAAGCGAUUGAGCCUCGAUAUGAAAUUAUUUUUUCAUUUAUCUUAAUAAAGGGG